rnacentral:rRNA from 1 species
GACAGAGGGUGCAAACGUUGCUCGGAAUCACUGGGCGUAAAGGGCGCGUAGGCGGUCAGCACAAGUCAGUUGUGAAAUCUCCGGGCUUAACUCGGAAAGGUCAACUGAUACUGUGCGACUAGAGUGCAGAAGGGGCAACUGGAAUUCUCGGUGUAGCGGUGAAAUGCGUAGAUAUCGAGAGGAACACCUGCGGCGAAGGCGGGUUGCUGGGCUGACACUGACGCUGAUGCGCGAAAGCCAGGGGAGCGAACGGG